AUGAACGCUAGCGGCAGGCUUAAUACAUGCAAGUCGAGGGGCAUCAAGGUACACGAAAGUGUAUUGUUGGCGACCGGCGGACGGGUGAGUAAUAGGUAGGUAACCUACCUCAUACUGAGGCAUAGCUGGGAGAAAUUCCAGGUAAUUCCUCAUGAGGUUAUAUGACACAUGUGAUAUAAUCAAAGGUAUCGCAAGGUACUGGUAUGAGAUGGGCUUACUGACCAUUAGCUAGUUGGUGAGAUAAGAGCUCACCAAGGCGAAGAUGGUUAGGGGUUUUGAGAGAGAGAUCCCCCACAUUGGAACUGAGAUACGGUCCAGACUCCUACGGGAGGCAGCAGUAGGGAAUAUUGGGCAAUGGGCGGAAGCCUGACCCAGCCAUGCCGCGUGAAGGAAGACGGCCUUAUGGGUUGUAAACUUCUUUACUAUGCGAAUAGAGGUUAGUACGAGAUACUAAUAGGAAGGUAGUGUAGUAAAAAGCACCGGCUAACUCCGUG
rnacentral:rRNA from 1 species